GCUACCUUUAUGGUUUAAAGGGUUAUAAAAAAAUGGUGUUAUAGUUGCAAGAAUGACAUUGCGAGAGCUUCGCGACGUGCCUAUGACAUUCAUGUUAGACCCUCUAUGUACAGAAAUGUUCGUGAUGUUUACGUAUGUUGUCAUUUUUUAUGUAAUUCCACUACCAUGUAUCAUACCUUCUUGAGUACCUUUUGUUUAAUGUUUUAUUCUUUUGUCCUACGCACUGUCCCUUGCCGUCCUUUGGAAGGGGCUGUCAUCCCAUCACGCUACUCGUGGCAGUAGCAUUUUGGGACUGCUCUUUCCUUGGAUUGAUAAAUAACACAUUCAUUUAAGUGCACAGCCAAAUUUAUGAAAUGUACCAUUUUAUACAGAUGUAUGAAUGAAGAUAAAAGUCUAAUGAUUGAGCCUUGGGCAUGCCAGUAGUGGAAGCACAUGAGUGAGCAAGCUUUCGAUUAACUUGCAUAGAGAAAAAAAAUGUUAAAGCAGGUACUUCUACUCUACACCCGCAUGUGUGCAUGGUCGACAGGUGGUGGACAGGUCGACAAGUAUGUGCAGGAGAGUUGUCUUUCCUGCCAUUGUGCACCCUUUCAGUUAAUAGUCAGCACGCUUGUAUUAAUCACAUGUGUGCGUUUGCACACCCACCCUCUUUCAUCACUAUUACAUUAUCUGUAUCACACACCAAAUUCAUUGAAAUGGCACAACAGACCUGCUGAGAUUAGUCAAUGCUGAACACACUGCCACAAUUUUGUCCAAUUGAGUUACAGUGUCUCCACUUUUAGUCCUGACAAGCUCAAUGGGAAUAAUUGAGGACAAAAUUGCAUACUUGCGACGCAACAACCCAAUCACCCUCUCUACGUGUAAUGGCUAUUUUUCGCGUCUUCUCGACCUUCCAGGCCGUGAGCUGUCGCUUUCCUUUCGUGAAUGCUGGCAUUUCAAGCUGCGCACAAUGAACCCCUACGGCAUCAGCAAUAGUGAAACCUCUGUCGGCUAGCACAGUGUCUCCUGGUAGUAGGUUGUUGAGGAUACCACAGCGCUCAGUCAAGAGCUUGUCGCUUGUACGCCCACACCAUCCUUUGGAGAUGUAAGUGACGGCACCCUGAGGUGCAAUUCCAAUUAAAUACUUAACAGUAUUAUGAUGCUUGUAUCUUGACCAAGUCUGACAGCGUGGGAGAACUGAAGAGGGCCGUUCUGUAAACACUUCAAACAAUCAAUUAUUACAGCCACCCUUGUCCCAAAUGCUUUACGAAAACACACAGGCAUGGUUAGUUGCAGCUCCUCACGUUCUGUUCACUCCACAAGCCUGUGCAGGCGAACAUGCAUGGCAUCAAGCCAGCGUUCUAAGAUCCUUGUCACUGUGGCUUCACUGAC
rnacentral:lncRNA from 1 species